GCCCUCGUAUCCCAAUUGGCAGAGGAAACGGAUUCAAAACCCGUCCAGUGUGAGUUCGAGUCUCACCGAGGCACCA
rnacentral:tRNA from 1 species